CAGCCGCCGCGGUAAAACGGAGGGUGCAAGCGUUAAUCGGAAUUACUGGGCGUAAAGCGCACGCAGGCGGUCUGACAAGUCAGAUGUGAAAUCCCCGGGCUUAACCUGGGAACUGCAUUUGAAACUGUCAGGCUGGAGUCUUGUAGAGGGGGGUAGAAUUCCAGGUGUAGCGGUGAAAUGCGUAGAGAUCUGGAGGAAUACCGGUGGCGAAGGCGGCCCCCUGGACAAAGACUGACGCUCAGGUGCGAAAGCGUGGGGAGCAAACAGGAUUAGAUACCCCGGUAGUCCCUGUCUCUUAUAC
rnacentral:rRNA from 1 species